GCAGAGAUAUCGAAGUGGUCAUAACGGGGCUGACUCGAAAUCAGUUUGCUGGCAACAGCACGAGGGUUCGAAUCCCUCUCUCUGCG
rnacentral:tRNA from 1 species